rnacentral:lncRNA from 1 species
AGGAUUUGGAUAUAAUUUUGCUACCUUCGUAUUUGCUAUUGCAAAUUGUUAACAACAAAUUGAAAUGAACUGGAAUAUUUUAGUCUCAAGGACACAGGAAUGUAAAUUUACAAACCAAAGUAAGCAAUUUUAAGAUGAAAUUGACAAAUUGUCUUUUAUGAUUCCUUAUGGUUUUUUUCAUUUUUUUGUUGUUGUCUGUAAAUCUAUUUAUUCUUACAAUAACUCACAGAAACAUUCGUAUAUGUAUAAAAAUACAAAUACUUACAUAUUUUCAAGAAAUACUUUCGUGUUAUAUUGUUUGUGGACCAUACAGAAAAACUCACAGUCUGGCAUUAACCUAUAAAUGUUAAUAAUAUUAUAUUUCCACAACAAUGAUUAAAAGAACUAUCAUUAUCAUAUAACAAUAGAUAUGUUUUACUGCAAAUUAUUUUGUUACGAUGUGUUUAUAUUUUUGAACAUUUUAAACAAAGGAGAAUUUUGGUUUACGGUUUAACAUGCUCUGUCUAUGUUUGAUAGACAAACAUUAGUGAUUUCUCCUUGAUAUGUACAACAAACUAUAAAAUGAAAACCUUUUAAUCAUUUUAUUUCAGUUCAUCUCAUUCAGUUUUGGGACAACGGAAUUGUAGAGACAAUAAACAUGGUUUGCCAUUCUACGAAAGAAAAUACACUUGAUCUGAUUGGACUAUUUGUUUUCUAUCACUCUAUGUCAAUAGUGUCAGCUUGUGCAACAACUGCAACGGAAUUUGAUAAAAAUAAAUGAAAUAAAGAUAGCAGGUCAAGCUUGCUGUGUCUGGUUAUUAUAUGAGUAUAGUGCUUAAGGUGGUAUGGGUGU